rnacentral:rRNA from 1 species
AUUGAACGCUGGCGGCAGGCCUAACACAUGCAAGUCGAACGAGUGGCGGACGGGUGAGUAAUGUCUGGGAAACUGCCUGCUGGUGGGGGAUAACUACUGGAAACGGUAGCUAAUACCGCAUACCAUCAGAUGUGCCCAGAUGGUAUUACCUUGUUGGUGGGGUAACGGCUAACAAAGGCGACGAUCCCUAGCUGGGCUGAGAGGAGGACCAGCCACACUGGAACUGAGACACGGUCCAGAUUCCUACGGGAUGCAGCAUUGGGGAAUAUUGCACAAUGGGCGCAAGCCUGAUGCAGCAAUGCCGCGUGUAUGAAGAAGGCCUUCGGGUUGUAAAGUACUUUCAGCGGGGAGGCGUUACCCGAAGAAGAAGCACCGGCUAACUCCGUGCCAGCAGCCGCGGUAAGUG